GUCGAGCGAACGGACGAGAAGCUUGCUUCUCUGAUGUUAGCGGCGGACGGGUGAGUAACACGUGGAUAACCUACCUAUAAGACUGGGAUAACUUCGGGAAACCGGAGCUAAUACCGGAUAAUAUUUUGAACCGCAUGGUUCAAAAGUGAAAGACGGUCUUGCUGUCACUUAUAGAUGGAUCCGCGCUGCAUUAGCUAGUUGGUAAGGUAACGGCUUACCAAGGCAACGAUGCAUAGCCGACCUGAGAGGGUGAUCGGCCACACUGGAACUGAGACACGGUCCAGACUCCUACGGGAGGCAGCAGUAGGGAAUCUUCCGCAAUGGGCGAAAGCCUGACGGAGCAACGCCGCGUGAGUGAUGAAGGUCUUCGGAUCGUAAAACUCUGUUAUUAGGGAAGAACAUAUGUGUAAGUAACUGUGCACAUCUUGACGGUACCUAAUCAGAAAGCCACGGCUAACUACGUGCCAGCAGCCGCGGUAAUACGUAGGUGGCAAGCGUUAUCCGGAAUUAUUGGGCGUAAAGCGCGCGUAGGCGGUUUUUUAAGUCUGAUGUGAAAGCCCACGGCUCAACCGUGGAGGGUCAUUGGAAACUGGAAAACUUGAGUGCAGAAGAGGAAAGUGGAAUUCCAUGUGUAGCGGUGAAAUGCGCAGAGAUAUGGAGGAACACCAGUGGCGAAGGCGACUUUCUGGUCUGUAACUGACGCUGAUGUGCGAAAGCGUGGGGAUCAAACAGGAUUAGAUACCCUGGUAGUCCACGCCGUAAACGAUGAGUGCUAAGUGUUAGGGGGUUUCCGCCCCUUAGUGCUGCAGCUAACGCAUUAAGCACUCCGCCUGGGGAGUACGACCGCAAGGUUGAAACUCAAAGGAAUUGACGGGGACCCGCACAAGCGGUGGAGCAUGUGGUUUAAUUCGAAGCAACGCGAAGAACCUUACCAAAUCUUGACAUCCUUUGACAACUCUAGAGAUAGAGCCUUCCCCUUCGGGGGACAAAGUGACAGGUGGUGCAUGGUUGUCGUCAGCUCGUGUCGUGAGAUGUUGGGUUAAGUCCCGCAACGAGCGCAACCCUUAAGCUUAGUUGCCAUCAUUAAGUUGGGCACUCUAAGUUGACUGCCGGUGACAAACCGGAGGAAGGUGGGGAUGACGUCAAAUCAUCAUGCCCCUUAUGAUUUGGGCUACACACGUGCUACAAUGGACAAUACAAAGGGCAGCGAAACCGCGAGGUCAAGCAAAUCCCAUAAAGUUGUUCUCAGUUCGGAUUGUAGUCUGCAACUCGACUACAUGAAGC
rnacentral:rRNA from 1 species